CACGGAGGGUGCAAGCGUUAUUCGGAAUCACUGGGCGUAAAGCGCGCGUAGGCGGUCUCUUAAGUCAGAUGUGAAAGCCCGGGGCUCAACCCCGGAAGUGCAUUUGAAACUAAGGGACUUGAGUAUGGGAGAGGGAAGUGGAAUUCCUGGUGUAGCGGUGAAAUGCGUAGAGAUCAGGAGGAACACCGGUGGCGAUGGCGACUUCCUGGACCAAUACUGACGAUGAGGCGCGAAGGCGUGGGGAGCAAACAGG
rnacentral:rRNA from 1 species